UUUGACUCAAUUUGGCAUGAUGGUCUGUUGUUUAAAUGAAUAGAAAGUGGUGUUGGAGGAAGAACUUACGACAUCAUAAAGUCCAUGUACACAAACAACAAAUGUGCAGUUAAGAUAGGAAAGAAACACACAGACUUCUUCCAACAAUGCCGGGGUGCGAGACAGGGAUGCAGCUUGAGUCCGACCCUGUUCAACCUAUUCAUUAACCCACUAGCAAGGCCAUUAGAACAGUCUGCAGCCCCCGGCCUAACACUGGUAGACACUGAAAUCAAAUGUCUGCUGUUUGUAGAUGACCUGGUGCUGCUGUCCCCAACCAAAGAAGGCCUACAGAGACUACACCGUGGCAGAAUACCUGACCACCGUGAACGACCCAAAACAGAGGAGAUCCUUGACCAGAUACAGACUCAGCAAACACAGCCUGGCCAUCGAGAAGGGACGCCACAGACAGACCUGGCUCCCAAGAGAAGACAGACUGUGCUCCCACUGCACACACAACCAACUAGAGACAGAACUGCACUUCCUGACCUCCUGCCAGUCAUACGAAGACAUCAGGAACACACACUUCCCACGGAUUACAAAGGCAAGCAAGGACUUCAAAGACACUCCAGAUGCUCACAAACUGCCAUACCUGUUGGGAGAAAUACAACAAUGUGCGAACACAGCAGCAAGAUUCGUCACCUGUUGUGAUGAGAGGAGGACCUCAAACUCCCCAUAGACUCAUCCCCCUGGACUCACUCUGCAAACAAUAAUUGCAUAAUCCUCCGUAAUGAAAAUACUCUGUAUUUAGAGUGUAUCUUUAAUUUAUCUGUUUAUAUGAGAUACUGUAAUUUUUGUAAUUUUUUAAGUACUUUUGUAGUAUAACAUUUGAUAUGUAUAGAUAUUUUGUAUUUAACGGUUUAUACUUAUUAUUAUUAUAAUAUAUACCUUACCUUUUUACUUUUUAUUUUAUAAUGC
ensembl:lncRNA